GAUGAAGAACGUAGCGAAAUGCGAUAAGUAGUGUGAAUUGCAGAAUUCAGUGAAUCAUCGAAUCUUUGAACGCACAUUGCGCCCCUUGGUAUUCCAUGGGGCAUGCCUGUUCGAGCGUCAUUUGUACCUUCAAGCUUUGCUUGGUGUUGGGUGUUUGUCUCGCCUUUGCGUGUAGACUCGCCUUAAAACAAUUGGCAGCCGGCGUAUUGAUUUCGGAGCGCAGUACAUCUCGCGCUUUGCACUCAUAACGACAGCGUCCAAAAGUACAUUUUACACUCUUGACCUCGGAUCAGGUAGGGAUACCCGCUGAACUUAAGCAUAUCAAUAAGCGGAGGA
rnacentral:misc_RNA from 1 species